CCGGAUGGAGCGGUUCGACGUCACAGGGUCCAGGAUGAUCGACGAGCUCCAGGACGAGCUGGCCGGCGGCGGCGACGACCUCUGCGACUCCUCCUACGUCGACGUCAUGUGAUGAUCUGUCCUUCAAUUUGCCUGAGAGAAAGAGCGUAAUUAAUGCGCGGCUAGUCUUUUGUUUGUUUAACGUUGCUGACAAGUUGGUAAUGAGCAGACGGCUUCUAGAAGAGUUAUUGCUUAUAGAUCAGAGGGCCGUGCCGGUCUUUGUUUUGGGGUGGAUCUUUGGUGUUCACACACGUUUUACCUACCUGCUGGUCUUGAUAUUUUGGUGUAACUGCAUCAUUGCAUAUUUGCAUGUGUAUCAAUCUACCCCCAAGCUCGCU
rnacentral:lncRNA from 1 species